rnacentral:rRNA from 1 species
AUUGAACGCUGGCGGCAGGCCUAACACAUGCAAGUCGAGCGGGGUUUUCGGACCUAGCGGCGGACGGGUGAGUAAUGCGUAGGAAGCUACCCGAUAGAGGGGGAUACCAGUUGGAAACGGCUGUUAAUACCGCAUAAUGUCUACGGACCAAAGUGUGGGACCUUCGGGCCACAUGCUAUCGGAUGCGCCUACGUGGGAUUAGCUAGUUGGUGAGGUAAUGGCUCACCAAGGCGACGAUCCCUAGCUGGUUUGAGAGGAUGAUCAGCCACACUGGAACUGAGACACGGGCCAGACUCCUACGGGAGGCAGCAGUGGGGAAUAUUGGACAAUGGGCGCAAGCCUGAUCCAGCCAUGCCGCGUGUGUGAAGAAGGCCUUCGGGUUGUAAAGCACUUUCAGUAGGGAGGAAGCGUUGUGUGUUAAUAGUACACAGCGUUGACGUUACCUACAGAAGAAGCACCGGCUAACUCUGUGCCAGCCGCCGCGGUAACAC